rnacentral:rRNA from 1 species
UGAUCCUGGCUCAGGAUGAACGCUAGCUACAGGCUUAACACAUGCAAGUCGAGGGGCAGCAUGUCGGUUGCUUGCAACCGACGAUGGCGACCGGCGCACGGGUGAGUAACGCGUAUCCAACCUACCCUUGUCCAUCGGAUAACCCGUCGAAAGGCGGCCUAACACGAUAUGCGGUUCUCAGCAGGCAUCUAACGAGAACGAAAUGUGAAGGAGAAGGAUGGGGAUGCGUCUGAUUAG